rnacentral:rRNA from 3 species
UUAGCGGCGGACGGGUGAGUAACACGUGGGUAACCUGCCUGUAAGACUGGGAUAACUCCGGGAAACCGGAGCUAAUACCGGAUAGUUCCUUGAACCGCAUGGUUCAAGGAUGAAAGACGGUUUCGGCUGUCACUUACAGAUGGACCCGCGGCGCAUUAGCUAGUUGGUGGGGUAAUGGCUCACCAAGGCGACGAUGCGUAGCCGACCUGAGAGGGUGAUCGGCCACACUGGGACUGAGACACGGCCCAGACUCCUACGGGAGGCAGCAGUAGGGAAUCUUCCGCAAUGGACGAAAGUCUGACGGAGCAACGCCGCGUGAGUGAUGAAGGUUUUCGGAUCGUAAAGCUCUGUUGUUAGGGAAGAACAAGUGCGAGAGUAACUGCUCGCACCUUGACGGUACCUAACCAGAAAGCCACGGCUAACUACGUGCCAGCAGCCGCGGUAAUACGUAGGUGGCAAGCGUUGUCCGGAAUUAUUGGGCGUAAAGGGCUCGCAGGCGGUUUCUUAAGUCUGAUGUGAAAGCCCCCGGCUCAACCGGGGAGGGUCAUUGGAAACUGGGAAACUUGAGUGCAGAAGAGGAGAGUGGAAUUCCACGUGUAGCGGUGAAAUGCGUAGAGAUG